AAUGCGAAUUUCAUCAAAAUCUCCUCUCUUCUUUUGUCCUUCAACGAGUCGUUUUCAGUAAAAAAUUUCCCCCUUUUUCUCAGCUUGUUCUGAUAUUGCUCUGAGCUUUUUCAAAAUUCGCGUCCCGAUUUGGAGCGAGGAAAAUGCGGUUAAGGAAAGCUUCCGAGCUUUGAUGGGGGGUAGGGCUUUGGAUUUUACUUGAAUUUUGAGAUACGGGAGAACACAGGCUUUUGGUGCGGAGAUGUCGAAUGGAAGGAAGCCUCACUUCCUCCAUGGCUUUAAUCCUUCGAUCAGCUCUGAGAAAUUGAAAAUUCCAUCUAAAUUUGCCAAACAUAUGGAUGGAGUGACAUCUGGGACUGCGUCUUUGGUGGGUCCCAGUGGAAACACAUGGUAUGUGGGUGUAAGUCAGCUUGAUGGUGGCUUAUUCUUUCAUGAUGGAUGGACAAUAUUUGUUAAGGAUCACUGUUUGGAGUAUGGGGAUUCCUUGGUUUUUAGAUAUGAUGGUGAUUUUCAUUUCCAUGUCCAAGUUUUUGAUGAGGGUUCAUGUGAGAAAGAAGUUGCAUUUUGUGCUGAUUGCAGUCAAGAUGUAACCAACUUUGAAAAUCAUGCAAUAAAGAAAAGAGAUAGGAAGAGCUUAGGUUUAUUAGACUGCAUUGCCGAAGGUGUCCCAAAGAGAAUGAGAAGCACUGAAAUCCAUUCUGAAUGUCAAACUAGUGGCCAGGAGAAUCAGGUCACAUCUAGCAAGGAAGAAUACUUGUGUGGAGAACUGGUUUGCUUGAGAGAAAUGGAGAUAGAUGGAAAUCCAUUGAAAGACUUUGUAACUAUUGCCGUACCAUCUCAAGGAAAGUGUGUGUAUGAGAACUCAGUAGAUGCAACCAUUAGUAGUUGGACAAAUGAUGAAGAUGUAUGGUUGUCUACACAAGAAGCAGAGAGAGCAGCAAGAUCCUUCACAUCAAGUUUCCCUAACUUUACAAAAGUCAUGAAAAGGUUUAAUGUCAGUGGUUCAUUCACCUUGAAUGUCCCUUAUCAAUUUGCAACGGAACAUCUACCCAAAUGCAAAGUGAAGAUUAUGCUUCGUAAUUUAAAAGGACAGAGUUGGGUAGUUAAUUCCAUCCCAACAACACGAGUACAAACAUCGCAUACUUUUUGUGGAGGGUGGUUGGCAUUUGUUCGUGACAAUAACCUUGAUUUAGGAGAUAUUUGCAUCUUUGAACUUGUUCACAAGGGUGAAUUGCGUGUCCGGAUUCUCAGGGUGGAGAAGGAAGGGGUGAACGACCAUAGUAGUGUCACUGCUCAUAAGACUGUAUCAAAUGAAAAAGGAAAACACAGAAGUACAUUGAAGAGCUCUUUCUUACAUACUCAAUUGAAUGCUACUGGUGGACAAUCAGUUACUCGGAAAGGCACCAGUUCUCAAGACAAACUAGGUUCUUCCACUAAGGGCUGUAUGUCAUUAAAGUCAGCACCUGAAGAAAAAAUAGCUGCUCAAGCUUUCAUUUCUAGCUUUCCGCAUUUUGUUAGAGUCAUGAAGAAGUUCAAUAUUAGUGGCUCAUACACCUUGAAAGUCCCAUAUCAGUUCUCUAUGGAGCAUCUACCAAACUGCAGAACAAAAAUUAUCCUCCGUAAUUUAAAAGGACAAAGCUGGACAGUAAAUUCUAUCCCAACAACUAGGGUGCAAACACUGCAUACAUUCUGUGGAGGAUGGAUGGCCUUUGUUCGAGAUAAUGACAUCCAAAUGGGAGAUAUCUGCAUUUUUGAGUUGGUUGGGAAGUGUGAAAUGCGUGUACAUAUUUGUGCAAUUGGGAAAAAAGGUUUGGAUUACCAAAAUGGGAGCAUUUGACAUGGCUACAAACAAGAGACCUCAGGAUAAUUUUGAUUGCAGGCUGGUCUUCAACUCUCCAUUUUGUAAAGGUGAAAACUGGGGCCACAUGUUGCUGGACGUUAUGCGGGAAGAUGUGCAUGGAAGAUGACUACGAGGAUAUCAUCAAUUUGACGUCUGAAUUUUGUUGUUUUUGCUGACAUAUGUGGUUGAAACUUUACAUAUGAUUAAUUGUGUAAACUAUGUCCAGGUCACUUUUGUAAGUAAAGAUUAUGUGUAGUGUAAUUAGUGCCGGAGAUUGCGAGUCCAGCUCUGUACAGAAGAAAGAAUUCGCAGCUAUUUGAAGGACAAAACUUGAAAAGUCCAAAAAAAGAUGAAGCUUUCAAAUCAGUAAUAAGUACUCCGUAUUUUGUCAA